rnacentral:lncRNA from 1 species
UACAUAAGUACACUGUAGCUGUCUUCAGACCCACCAGAAGAGGACAUCAGAUCUCAUUACAGGUGGUUGUAAGCCACCAUGUGGUUGCUGGGAUUUGAACUCAGGACCUUUGGAAGACAGUCAGCACUCUUACCUGUUGAGCCAUCUCUCCAGCCCUCCCCCCAUCACAAAAAUCCUGCCAGCCAUCCUGGUGAUACAAAGAUAUCAGUCACAGAUGGUCAGCAGCCUCCAUCACCAGAUGUGUGUGCCUGAGGAACCACAGGCCAGCAUGGCUGCUCAUGAUUCCAAGCAGAGUGACUGGCUCUGUAGUCCUCAUUACAGAGGAAGGUGAGCCACCAUGUAGUUGCCGAGAUUUGAAUUCAGGACCUCUGGAAGAACAGUCAGUGCUCUUAACCGCUGAGCCAUCUCUCCAGGCCAGGACUUAGCUAAGCCAGCCUCCAUUAUACUGCCCUGCUACAGGUUCAGGAAGAUGAACAAACACAGUCCGUGCUCGCAUCUAACAAUCCUAUACCAGGCUCAGAGCUAGGCAUUUCCAUUACAAUGUUGUGACAAGGACACGAGCCACUCUGGUCACAUCGCACUGGCCACAAAGACAGUAGCCGACAAGAGGAACAGAAGCACGUGUGCACGCCUGAGCUUCCCAAAGUCUAGACCAGCAUUUCAGAAAGCUAUGGGGCCCCUGGAUUGGGUGAAGGAAUAGACAGCAAAUUCAGAACAAAGAAUCCGACAGUAUCGGAUGUGACAGUGACUGUGUACCAGGAAGAGGCUUGGUUCUGUGCUGGGUCAGUGUAAGAGGCCGCCUGGAGAAAGAGAAUUAAGUUGGUGUUUUAGCAGAUGAAAGGAAGGUGGGGACCAUGUGAAAGCAAAGAAGUGCAGUCCUUCCAGAUGCGGCUGCACUAAAGCUUGACAGAAGGCCUUGGUUAAAAGCAUAGAAAUCAUGGUGCAAACCUCUGCUGGCUUAAGCGGUGAGAAGACACCACCCAGCGUGGGUGGAGGACAGAGCUUUGAUGUUGGCCCCAAAGUAGAGGACAUGCAGGAAGAGACUGCAGGAGAAUGUGGGCCAUCAGACAGGAGUCCUACAAGGGCAGAGCCUUUGCUGGCUCAGCGCCCUGCAAGAGACUCCACCUUGCUACACAGGCUGCUCCCCCCUCUGAAUGCUUGGGAUGGGAGUUAGGGGUGGGAAGUUUAGUCAUUUUAUUUCUAAACCCCUCUGAUGUGUAUCAACCCAAUUUAUAUUCACAAUACGUGUUGAUAGUGUCCCCUUUUAUGUGAUAAGAGGCAAGGAAAUUAGUGCCUAGGAAAGAUGCUGAUGUGGCAAGGAUUGUAUCCAAGUGCUGAUCUGCAGGCUGGGGCCAAAUCCCCAUUCAUUCCCUGUCAAUCAUCAUUGCUAUAGCGGCUGAGAGGGCCUCCAGUCUGUAAGAGACUAAUGUCACAUCAAAAGCGGUUUAAAAUAGCAAGCACCUAAUCUACACAAUCGGUAUCUAUUGGACUCUGGGGAGUAGCUCUGCAUCUCUCACAAGGUCCUUGAGUCCUUCCAGGGCUGUGGCAAUCAGAUGCCUUCACUGAGGCUGCAAGAUCCUCAUUUAAGAUGGUCUGCUCCGUCCCGUGGCUGGUUAAGUGUGCCGAUUGUUAAGAUUGUUAAGGGCAGGCCUUAGUUCCUGACCACAGGCUAUGGGAUGAUGGUGGCUAAAGAGGUGGAAGAGGGAGAGGCAAAAGAGAAAGAGGAAGGAGGAGGAGGAAGAGGAGAGGUUUAUGGCCUAGCUUCAGAAGGCCCCUCACUUCUCUAUCAGCAUGUGAAUGGUUAGAAGCCAGUGACCAAAUCAAGCACCCAUCCAAGGGAAGGCAAAUCAAACACCCAUCCAAGGGAAGGAACCAUUAGAUGCCAUCUUUUGAAAAGGGGAUUCUAGAAUUUGUGGGCUCAUUUUUAAACUACCUGAACAUAGAGUAAGCACCCCUUUUUUUCUGCUAUUUCACUCAUUCUCAGUCUUUCUGACACCAACUGGGGGUCGGGAGGUCGUCCCAUGCCAAGCAACUUUUGAGUUCUCUGGGCAUAUACCAGCAGGGGGUCCCAGAAUCUGCUGGACUUUGCUGUAACUGGAGUCAGGGUGGAGUCAGGGUCAGACUGCUCAGAUAAGGGUUCAACUCUACCGGAUGGCCCUGUUGAGGUGGCAGUAACAGUCCAGGUUGUCACUUGUGCAUCCUACCAGCUAGACGGCCACCUCAGGGUUGAUCACUUGCUAGGAUGAAUCAUGGGGCCAGGAAAGUGGCCACUACUGCAUUACCCAAAGAAUUCAGGAAGCAAAUGACAGCACACAGGAAAGGUGAGUGGGGCGGGCUACGUGGAGUAUGGAGAGGGGGCAGAACAUUCUUUCCAGUAUAGGUGUGUUCAUCAACCCAGAAGCCCUAGACUCCCCCAUCUUUGGGAACUGUAUGGAGGGAGCCUUCAGCCUGCAGGCAUGAUUGACUGCUGAGAUGAAUACAGUUUUAUCACAGAGCCUAGGCAGAAGCUUGAAUGCAGAGGGGGAAAAAAAAAGAAUAGAGGCCUGGGGUGGUCAUGAAGCGUCCAUAAAUGGUACACCAGAGAAGAGACUGAAGUAUCUGAAGAAAACCUGGUACCCAACCACCCAUGGAGGGCACUGAUAAUGGCAGUUCAGGGUCCCACGCCCUAUGGAGCUAAGGCAACAGGACACUAAGGCUCAGGAAGUUAGUGGGGAGUUCCAGCCCAGAGCCCGCCCUCACAGAGGAAUAAAGGCCAACGGACUCCUCUCUGCUGAAACAGUCUGUGACGUUUCCAUCUGUAAAAUUUGCUCUCUGAGGUCAGAAACCAAAAAGACCUCACCUAGACCCGUUUUUUGUUUUAGGAGACACAGCUGCUGGAGUUAAAAGCACAAAGACUGUUUAAGUCAGUGCAGUGCUGUGCUCUUCGCAAAAGCUUGCCUCAGCAAAAGCUUGCCACCUAUACCCCAAUGGCAGAUCUAAACCAAGGAAACCCACUCUUCAGAAAUAAAGGUUCAUAGUUCUGAUGGACACUUGAAAGAGGCUGCCAUCUUCUGCUGUGAAGAGCCACGUAAAUUCCCUGUGCACCUCCAGCUUCAUCGAGAUGACACCCAGAGCUUAGUCCAUAUCUACAGGGGAGGCACUUACAGAGGAUGAGUCAACCCGUAUCUACAGGGGAGGCACUUAGAGGAUGAGUCAAAUAAGCUUGAGGCUCUGGGCUCUCCAUCGGCCCCACCCUCGGAACCUGCAACCCAGGACAUGCCCUUCUCGGGGUUGCUACUAGAUUAGAGAGAGGACGGCCUGCAAAUAGACAAUUGGUGGUCAUGAAAUGGCAAAGCCUUGGGGAGUUGCAGCAGGGAGGGUUGCCUGCCCUGUACACUUUGAGUCAUAUGACAUUCAUCCAAUUCAUUUAUUCAUUCAUUCAGCAAAUGCAGCUCAAAAGGCCAGGCACAUGCUGAGUACUGUCCUAGGUACCAACUCUCACCCUUCAAAAUGGAAAACAACAAACCACACAUAAUUGUGCACUUAUGUAAUGCCUGUGGGGUUUUUUUUUUUUUUUUAAUUAUAUGUAAGUACACUUUAGCUGUCUUCAGACACAACAGAAGAGGGCAUUAGAUCUCAUUACAGAUGGUUGUGAGCUACCAUGUAGUUGCUGGGAAUUAAACUCAGGACCUCUGGAAGAGCAGUUAGUGUCCUUAACCGCGGAGCCAUCUAUCUGUGUACAUUCUAGACCCUGACCAAUGGUAUGGAGAAAGGCAGGUAAGGAGGGGCAUGAGGUAGAAAAGCCCUCUGUGAGAAGAGAUCCUCUCCAAAACUCUACUACAAAGCGGGAAGUACUAUUUUAGAAGUGAGACCUGCUCUCUACAUCCCAGAGAUGCCUAUCUGGGGCAGUGAGAUGGCUCAGCCAGUGAAGGUGCUUGCCACCACGCCUGGUGUUCGAUGAGAGACUCACACAGCAGAAGGAGAAACUUGUAAAAAUUGCCGUCUGUCGCUCACACGCGCAGCACAUGGCAUGCCCUCUCAACUAAUGCUAGCAUCUGGGAGCCUACAAAGCGUGCCAGGGAGCCGCCUGAGGCCCGAGGUGGCCACACCUUCCUGGGGAAGGGCGGGGCAUGAGCAUCCAGAAGGUACUUCAGCCCUGGAACCACCAGGCAAAAGAAUAAGAAGUCAGUCUCUCAGAAUAAGAAGCCUGUGAGAGACUGACUGCAGGAGGGUGGAUGGGGAACAGCAGGGGACGGGCAACCACCAGGGUGCUCCCUACAUGUUGACUGUGGAGGAUGUCUUUGUACCAGAUAACUCUCUGCGUUUUGUUAUGUCAUGGGCAGUAUCGGUUCUUACCAAUUUACUAUCUGAUGAGCCUCUUCUCCCAGGAUGACACCUUAAGUGGCUUUUUGGAACAAGGAGAUGGAACUGGUGUUAACCUUCCUUCUAGGCUCUGCCCAACAGUUACCUGGCAACAGCCAGAUAGGCCUGGCUUGCUAUAAAAGGGGGUAUUUAACCCCUCCUCGCUCUCUCUGCCCCUUCAGUCUCUCUCCUCUCCCCGACCCCUUUCUUCAAGUCAAGAGACACAAAUGUGUUUUAUAAAAAGACCAGGAUAUGUUUUGUAGAGCGAGGUAUGGUGAGGUGGGGGUGCCCGGCGGGCCCAUGCUGAGGCAUUUCUUCCCCGUAAGGGACCAGCCAAAAGACGGGUAUAAUAUAGAAGAGAAUUUAUUUGGGAGCAUGGGAAGAGGAGUUGAUAAGGGAGUAGAGGCAGAGAGAGAGAGAGAGAGAGAGAGAGAGAGAGAGAGAGAGAGAGAGAGAGAGAAGAGGCCAGUCGGGAAGACGUGGAGAGAUGGGGGAGGAGAAGGGAAGAGAGGGGGAAAAAGAGGUUAGGAAGAGAAAAGAGGCAGAGAGGAGGGGCCAAACAGUCCCUUUCACAGCAAGCAGGCCUCCUGGCUGUUGCUAGGUAACCGUUGGGCGGAGCCUAGAAGGAAUGCAACAACAGGAACUUAGUCUGGUCCAUCCUUUGACUUCAUUCUUGUAGUAGAGCCAUAGCUAUUAGAAUAUUUUCUUUUUUAUCCUGUCGUGUUCAAAUGCACCCGCUCUCCACACCCACAUGCAAAGCUUUCGGGAGUCCAUCUUACGGGUCUCUGGGCUCAUCGGGUACCAUUGAAGCCCAGUUCUCCUAGCUCUGACUGGUUUCUGACUUCAAACUUCAUGCCACCGUUCCCUCUGUAUCCAUUCUCACAAAUUGUCCAACUCUACCGCGGUUCUGGAAGCUCCAUUCUCCCCUCCUCAGAGGUCUGUCUCUUACACCCCACUUCCCUCUCCUGGUGAGCCCUAACACCCCUUUUCUCCCUUGCAGCUUCAUACCUCUCCUCCUCCUUGUCACAUGUAGCCCUGCACACCCCCCAGUUUCUUGAACAAUAGUUCUGAAUUCCUGGAUCCCGUGGAGCAGGAGUUACGGGAGGUUGUGAGCUGCCUGCUGUAGGUGCUGGGAACAGCUUGGGCUCCCUGCAUCAACAGUUGUACUGCUCUUAACUGCUGAACCAUUUCUCAAUCCCCACAACUAAAACCAUUUUAAAUUCUGCCAAGCAUAGUGGUGCAGUCCAGUAAUCCCCCACCUACAAAACAGUGGAUGGGGAGUGUAAGCUUUCUCAACUACACACUCUCAUUUCAAAACAGAAGCAAGAUUUAUGCUGGGCAGUGGUGACUCACUCCUUUAAUCACAGAACUUGGGAGGUAGAGUCAGGCAGAUCAAGGCCAGCCUGGUUCACAGAGUGAGUUCCGGAACAGCUAAGGCUAUACAGAGAAGCUCUGUCUUGAAAAACAAAACAAACGCCACUACUGUUAGAUCUGGGGCUCAAAGCUUACGCCUCAGGACAACCUCCUUUGUAGCUUUAGCCUUUCUGUGUAAAAUAGGAAUAGUCUACCCGGGCUGGUGAGAUGGCUCAGUGGGUGAACACUGGUUGCUUUUUCGAAGGUCCUGAGUUCAAAUGCCAGCACCACAUGGUGGCUCAUCA